GUGGGGAAUAUUGGACAAUGGGCGCAAGCCUGAUCCAGCCAUGCCGCGUGUGUGAAGAAGGCCUUUUGGUUGUAAAGCACUUUAAGCGAGGAGGAGGCUACUGAGAUUAAUACUCUUGGAUAGUGGACGUUACUCGCAGAAUAAGCACCGGCUAACUCUGUGCCAGCAGCCGCGGUAAUACAGAGGGUGCGAGCGUUAAUCGGAUUUACUGGGCGUAAAGCGUGCGUAGGCGGCUUUUUAAGUCGGAUGUGAAAUCCCUGAGCUUAACUUAGGAAUUGCAUUCGAUACUGGGAAGCUAGAGUAUGGGAGAGGAUGGUAGAAUUCCAGGUGUAGCGGUGAAAUGCGUAGAGAUCUGGAGGAAUACCGAUGGCGAAGGCAGCCAUCUGGCCUAAUACUGACGCUGAGGUACGAAAGCAUGGGGAGCAAACAGGAUUAGAAACCCCGGUAGUCC
rnacentral:rRNA from 1 species